rnacentral:rRNA from 1 species
AUGAGCAAUACAACUAUCGCGGAAGCAUGGAGAAAGACGCGCUCCGCUCUCGCUCCCCCCACCAGCCCCUCGCCAUGCGCCUCCCCGGCCGUGUCGACCACCACAUCGGUGCUACUCACUCCGAGCCCGUCGACCACCUCACCCCCUGCCCAGCGCUGGCCUCUCCCCGGCGCCUCAAACUCCGCGGUCGCGCAGCUACGAAUCCUUCAGCACCUACGGUCGCCCCAGGCUCCCCAAGGCACGCCGGAUCUGGCUGGAUCUGGUUCCGGUCACCUUGAAGUGGGCGGUCCGAGCGAGGCCAGUGGGCAGUCGCCCUGCUUGCCAAGUGGGCAUUCAUGCCCUACACCAGCCUACUCUGGGCGCCUCCCCUCGCUGAUCUCGAUCCCGCCCUCCUCCACCAUUACUGCUCUGCGCUGCGCGUCAUCCCCCCCUCCUCGCCUCGCACCCACAGUCUACAUCCCGCCCACCUCCUCCUUCAAUGCGCUGCAGGGCACGCUUCCGCCCUCCUCCUCCCGCUUAGAGGCGUGGGAUUCGCGCGAUGGGCGGGCCCUGGAGGUCUCUGCUUGGAAACUGGUCGCUUCGAGGAAACGGCGGCGUGCACCGCCCGUACCAUCUUCAGCCGGGCUGAGUAAUGGCCGCCCGCGCUCCCCAGAUGAGCUCCUGCUCGCCGAGCAACGGCGCGCUGCCUAUUUGAGGCGCUUUCACGGCAAGUGUCUUUGCUGUCUCGCCCCCGGCCACCGUGCAAUUGAUUGCCGAGAUCCCGUGCGCUGUUCUUCCUGCUGGCAUUCGGGGCACCGCUCCAGGUCCGCCCGCUGCCCCGCCCGCAAGCCCGCCCCUAGCCGGAGCUCCUGCGUUCCCCCUCCGCCUCAACCUCCCACAGUGCCUCACCGCAUCCCGCCACCACCACCACCUGCGCCUCGCCACCCCCCCGCACCCAGCCACACCCCACCGCCACCUCAGGCCGCGCCACUGCCCUCUCCUCCCGUCCGUGCGCGCCCCCCUGCCUUGCCGCCUGCGCCAAUGGCCUACCGCCCUGGGGACACAUCCCGCCGCCCGGCGUCCGGCGCCACCUUUUCGGUGUGCUCCCAGGCCGUCGAGGACGCGGCCCGCCAUCUCAGGGGCACAGCGGUGGUCGUCACCCUCUUGGAGCAUCGCCAGGACAUCAACCCCUAG